rnacentral:rRNA from 1 species
UACGUAGGGUGCAAGCGUUGUCCGGAAUCAUUGGGCGUAAAGCGCGCGUAGGCGGCCCGAUAAGUCCGCUGUAAAAGUCAACGGCUCAACUGUUGAAAGCCGGUGGAUACUGUCGGGCUAGAGUACGGAAGAGGCAAGUGGAAUUCCUGGUGUAGCGGUGAAAUGCGCAGAUAUCGGGAGGAACACCAAUGGCGAAGGCAGCUCGCUGGGACGUUACUGACGCUGAGACGCGAAAGCGUGGGGAGCAAACAGG